GUGGUGUUAGCUCAACGGCAGAGCGUCGGCCUGUGGAGCCGAAUGUUGCGGGUUCGAAUCCCGUACACCACCCUA
rnacentral:tRNA from 1 species